rnacentral:rRNA from 2 species
GCGUGUCCAGAGCAGGUCCGUAGGGAUAAUACGUAGGUGGGCAAGGGUGUCCGGAAUUAAUGGGAGUAAAUCGCGUCGCCCAGGCGGACUCUUAAGUCUGAUUGGUAUAGCCCCCGGGCUCAAUCCGGGAGGGGUCAUUGAUACUGGAAAAUCUGGAGUGCUAGAAAGAGAAGAGUGGAAAUUCCCACGUGUAGCGGUGAAAUGCGUAGAUGAUGUGGAAGAACACCAAGUGGCGAAGGCGGACUCUCCGGGUCUGUAUCUGACCGUUGAGGCGCGAAAAGCGUGGGGAGCGAACAGGAUUAGAUACCCUGGUAGUCCACGCCGUAAACGAUGAGUGCUAAGUGUUAGAGGGUUUCCGCCCCUUUAGUGCUGCAGCUAACGCAUUAAGCACUCCGCCUGGGGAGUACGGUCGCAAGACUGAAACUCAAAGGAAUUGACGGGGGCCCGCACAAGCGGUGGAGCAUGUGGUUUAAUUCGAAGCAACGCGAAGAACCUUACCAGGUCUUGACAUCCUUUGCCACUUCUAGAGAUAGAAGGUUCCCCUUCGGGGGACAAAGUGACAGGUGGUGCAUGGUUGUCGUCAGCUCGUGUC